CACCCCCAGGGAGGGUAAGUUGGGAGCCCGGUGAAUGGUCGAAGUCCUUUCUGAGCGCAGCUUUCAAGAUUAAAGUUCCCGAAUUCGAGCGCAAAAGCCACGGGUGCGCCUCGAUGGAGAGGAAGGUUCAGGUGAAGACUUUGAAAAGGACCCCUCAAAGAGACCUCUUUAGGCCGGAUCUUCUUCUAAUGUCUGUCAAGAAGAGCACCUACCUCCCAGCUCGAAGUUGGUUUGUGGUCUCGGACAAAUUAAAUAUUACUGUUUAUUACCAGGCAUACCCCAAUAAAAUAAAGAGGCAACCAGGCGAUAGCGACUAUCUCACCAGCCGCUGCACCUAUAGGACUUGGAGACGUCACGAGUCACGCAACCGGGCCGCGCGCUGUCACGCUUGGCUGGGGGGCAGCGGCGGGAGGUUAAUUUCUCUCCGUCUUUGCCUAUCGGUGCUGGGUCUGCGCAGCCACAAGUCCCGGACCUCUCCGCUUCGGGAAUAAAAAAAGACAUAAACUAACCCACCUUUCUCCGGAGAAAUGAGGGUGGUGAACAUAAGACACAAAUAGAGCCAAGAUCGACUUUCUUAGCAAGGGGGAGAGGAGGUCACUCUUCACGAAGCGAGGUGGGAGUCCACCUUAGACCUCUAUUAGAAGGAAAUCGAGUUGUUCGGAGGGCUGAAGAUCCUUAUUAUUAAAAAAAAAAAAAAAUCCCCCACGGAGGAGCUCUUGGCAAACGAAUAUUGAGGCGCCGCUCUAGCUGGUUAACUUUGGGACACGAUAACUCAGUGCCCUCUUGCCGAUUUGCAUAGAAAUAAUUACUGGGUUAUCGUGAAGGGGAAAUGAGACAGAGUUCUCCGUAAUGUGCCUUGCUGAGAGAGCGGUCCAAGAAUGCAAUUCGUCCCAGAGUGGCCCGGCAGGGGCGGGGUGCGAGUGGGUGGUGGAGUAGGGGUGGGAGUGGAGAGGGGUGAUUUCUGCAGAGAAUAAUUAUAGCACUAGGGCCCGCCGAGGCACUCUGUUUUGUUUUGUAAUAAUGACUAUUAUUUUUAGUCUGAUCAAUGGGCGUAAUUUCUAAGCAGCCCAGUGGUGGUUACUCGCAAGCUUCUGCACACCGCUGGAAACUCACUGGCUUCAGUUGCAAACGUACGGCGUAGACGCCCCUGGCGGCGCCGAGAGAAGAGCUAGGCCUGCCUAGCACGGAACCGGCGAGCGUCCGGCCUUCCAGAAGGGUAAGUUCCCCGCCGAAGGGUCCCGAGGGAGCUGGACGUCUGAAUUUGGACUUGUCCCCAGCUUCAGAGUUCGACCCUGGGUUUUGUGCGUCCCCAGCCCCCAGGGCUUUCCGAAGCAUGGCCUGGCUCCAGGCCUGGUCAGCUCCGGACUGGAACGGCAGCAAAAUGUGCAGGGAGGCAGCCGGCCGGCAGAGCUGGUGCGGGAGCCAAGGUCAGGCCCGCGGGGAGAGCGGGCAGCUUCCAGCGCCGGCCACGAGCUUCCCGGCCACCUGGACCGCAGACCCCAUUGCUUCCAGAGAGCACCACCCGCGUCCUUCCUCUCCGCCAGGCUGGAGUGGCUGCCGCGAGCUUCGCUUUCGUUUCCCAAGCUGUUAAUAACGAUCUUUCCCCAAAGCCGAGGCUCGUUCGGUGCAGCGUUUGCUUCCAGAUGCCAAGAACGCAAACCGAAAUCCUUCUCCCAAACCCUCGUGGGAUGAGAUGAGUUUCUACUUGACCUCUGUACCGAGGUGGGCCGGAAGCCGAGGCCUAGGCCCCGCGGGGGCUGGAAGGGAAAGGCGAAGCUCCGAGCGUAGCGAGUUCUUUUCCGUGUGGUUCCUUUCUCUGGCAUCCCGGACCGCGGGCCCUGCAGCCACCUGGACCGGCUUUACAAGGAUUCUCCAAGUCCAGCGUCACAGACUGGCUUUCCCAGACGCUCCGGAGCCCGCGCCACCAACAAAGUAAAGGAGAGACGAGCGACCGCAACUAGAUUUGAGAAUCCUGGUUCUUUUCCCUAAUCGUCUGGUCAAUGAGCUCCGGAGCCGGCUACAGCGCGCAUCCUCUCUUCCUCCCUUCGAAGAAACGUCGCUUUCCCGAACGUGCUCCCAGCUGGGUUUUCUCCCGGAGUGUAGUUUUCUCAUUUUUAAUAUUUUGAUUAAAUUCCUGCCCUGAUUUUAAUACCGCAACAGGAUAGCAGAGGUUCUUGUUUAAAAAGUUAAAACCAAAACCGAAGGGGCCGAUGGCUGUUAAUUUUUUUUCUUCACUUUCUCCUUCCGUUUUUAAGAAAGACACAUCCAGAACUACCCCUUGUUUUCCUCUCAAAAGAGAACUCGCUUUAAAAUACAUCCCUUUCUAUUUCUUUCCCGAUAAGUCCCCAACAGACCUGGUGGCGACUUGGGAUCGUGGGGGUGACGGAAAAAUAGAAGCCCGGAUGGGGCUGGGAAAAUGAAUACGAAUUAAAACAAUAGAAAUGAUGGCAAACGAAACUUUGACCAGCUCAAUUUGCAAAAUAAAGGGUCGGUCUGAGGGUGGGACAUUCCCUGGUUUCUCAAGGGGGUCACUUCCCCUCUCACCCUGUUAGAUCUGGCUCCCUUAUAUUUUUUCCAGGACCACAGUAUGUCUCUUCUCAAUGUUUUAUUCGGUUUCCCUCCUUUUGUCCGGAAGUAUGUGGGAAGAAUACUGGCUGCUAUGAUUAUUAUCGAGUAUCCAAUGUUGUCCUCCAAUAUUUCCACCAAAAAUGAUUAUUGCUGCUCUGCUCAUUCAUGUUAGCGUUGCUUCAUGUGCUUAGAUGAUACUCUUCCUCUUUACUUUCCAAGUUUGGAGGGUGAGGUUUUUUGGUGGUGGUGGAAGGGGGGAGGGUUUUUUGUUUUUGUUUUUGUUUUCCUGUUCAGGGUAAUGAAAUGAGAACUGGAAGGGGGACAUCAUUUCAAGGCCCAGCUGAGAAGGAUCCCAAUGCUAGAAAUUUACACACUUCAAAGAGCAGAAAGGUGGAAGCGAGUGGUGCCCGGACACAAGGAUGCCACUGUUCUCAUCUCCUCCAAUGUGGGUAGUGCCCAGCCUAGAAAGGUGAGGGUCGCAGCUGGGAGAACUUGGAGCCCCCCAGGGUCACAUGGAGCCUGAGAACUCCAACCAUCUCCGUAGGUCAAACCCACUGAUAGGCCUCCUAAAAUGUUUGGGGUAGGGAAGAGAAACCUAGGACAUUCCAAGUCUGUAACCCUGUAAGAGAGAGACUCAGACUAAUAUCUCUAGGUCUGGGGUGAAGGUGGGGGCCUGUCUGGAUACCUCUUCCCUCAAUUGAAGGGUUCAUUGGAAACCUGGGAUCCCGCUGCUCUCUGGGACUCUGGAAAGACAAAUUUUCUUUGGCAAAUGGAACGGUGUCGCGCUGUCGACAGAGCAGACUAUUUUUCUUGUUUCCUCACAAGGUGGGGGUGGGGGAAAAGAAAAGGAAGCAAGAAAGAAAGGGAAAUUAAAUCCACACGUGUUAAGCUCGCUCAAAGGGCCAGAGACAAAACCAGAGAUGCAACUUCAACUCCAGUUCUGGCUGCCUGAGGGCCUCUUUCCAGCCAGCCAGGCCUCACAGAGCAAGGCGUCCCCACUGGAGAGAAUUCGAUCUGAUGUUUCAUAAAGCGCUUUAUUUAAGGAGAAGGGGUGUGGGUCUGUCUCCAAGUCUAUGCUGCAGAGAUUCAGAAUUUGUAGCGACAAAGAAAACAAAGGAGACAGCAAUUGUGAUGAUAAUUAAACUCUUUAUGAAAACUCAUCUUGAUGUCUUCCAAAUCAACCCAGUAAUUCAGGCAACCUUCAAGCAAUGGCCAAAAUCUUCCAGGCCAUUGAUUUACAAAAUUUCUAAGAUCUGAUCAGGCUUUCAGACUUGGGCCUAGCUGGGUCAAGAGAAGCUGAAAUGCUGUUGUGUUGGCUCUGAAAUAGCCAGUUUAAUCAGCACAACUGAUCUCUAUAUCCUCCCUGGCUUUCCUUUGCGGAGAGACGUUCUUGAGAGAGGACCCUACGGGUCCCAGUUGCAGAGCUCUGGCAUACAUGGGAGGGAGUGGAGGCGGCCACCCUGCCUGGAACUGUGAGUGAAAACUCUAGUAAUGACCUUGAGGAGGUGAAGGGAGGUGGGUGGGGGUGGGGGUGAUGAGGGCGGCCAAACCCCAAUCUGGAAGGAUCUGUCACCGAAACAAUUGCUUGGUCGAGACCUCUAAUUUUUCUUCCUCUCCAGCCAGUCUCCUGUGGCUCCCUGGUGCUGAGUUUCUGGCCUUUGGUGACAUCCUAACAGUAGGGUCCGGAAGCAGGGACCCCAGACACCUUGCUCCCUCACCCAAAUCACACCCAAAACAGACUGGAGUGACACAGCUGACAGAGGCUCUCUGUGGCCAGCGAUUGGCCGAAGUUCCUGGUGGAAAAGUUCCUAUUGUUUCCGAAAGGACCCUGAAUUUCCUGGUCACCAUGGCAACCUGGAAGUCCCACCGAAUGCCCUCAACAAGGGGGUGCCCUGAGGACAUUUGCGCAAUUUGCUUCGCGGUCUGAGGCCUGAAAAGCAUUUCUGCCUAUCGCUCUUGACUUUCUGGAGCCUCCUUAAAUGGGUCCAAGAGAGCAUGGAUUUUAAAACUGCCCCCUUUUUUAAACAGGGGAGAAAAUGGAGGUUUAGUACCAGCUGGGUUCAGGUCUUGAGCAAAAGCCCUGUCUUUGAAUUCAGAAUUCUGAACCCAAAGCCUAGCAUGUACAGCCUAUGAUGUAUCUGAAUCGAAACCCGCAGCCCAAACAUCUCAGCCAGAAACCUGGGACUUUAUGUAUCGAUUAAUCUCUUCACAUCUGUUAACCACCCCUAUCUGCAUGGGAGGCUCCCGAGCAGUCCAGGCAAUGCUUUUCUUUACCCGGGGUCAUUUCUCCCAAACAGAAGGAGAAAAGUCUGAGCAUUCAAAAUUGUGGCAUUAAUGUCUGCAAGGGCUAAUGGAGUGAAAAUAAUAAUUUAUUCUCCUCUUUAGAAAAAAAAAUUGCAAUUGCGGAUGUAAUUGAAAUAACAUUAAAAUAAUAUUUCUGGUGGCA